AGUGAACGCUGGCGGCAGGCCUAACACAUGCAAGUCGAGCGGCAGCGCGUCCGACCACCCUCGGGUGGUCGGAUGGCGGCGAGCGGCGGACGGGUGAGGAGUGCAUCGGAAUCUGCCUCGUUGUGGGGGAUAACGUAGGGAAACUUACGCUAAUACCGCAUACGACCUGAGGGUGAAAGCGGGGGACCGAAAGGCCUCGCGCGAUGGGAGCGGCCGAUGCCGGAUUAGCUAGUUGGUAGGGUAAAGGCCUACCAAGGCGACGAUCCGUAGCUGGUCUGAGAGGACGACCAGCCACACUGGGACUGAGACACGGCCCAGACUCCUACGGGAGGCAGCAGUGGGGAAUUUUGGACAAUGGGCGCAAGCCUGAUCCAGCCAUGCCGCGUGCGGGAAGAAGGCCUCGG
rnacentral:rRNA from 1 species